rnacentral:rRNA from 1 species
UACGUAGGGUGCAAGCGUUAAUCGGAAUUACUGGGCGUAAAGCGUGCGCAGGCGGUUAUGUAAGACAGAUGUGAAAUGCCCGGGCUCAACCUGGGAACUGCAUUUGUGACUGCAUGGCUAGAGUGUGUCAGAGGGGGGUAGAAUUCCACGUGUAGCAGUGAAAUGCGUAGAUAUGUGGAGGAAUACCGAUGGCGAAGGCAGCCCCCUGGGAUGACACUGACGCUCAUGCACGAAAGCGUGGGGAGCAAACAGG